AAAUUGAAGAGUUUGAUCAUGGCUCAGAUUGAACGCUGGCGGCAGGCCUAACACAUGCAAGUCGAGCGGAAACGAGUUAUCUGAACCUUCGGGGAACGAUAACGGCGUCGAGCGGCGGACGGGUGAGUAAUGCCUAGGAAAUUGCCCUGAUGUGGGGGAUAACCAUUGGAAACGAUGGCUAAUACCGCAUAAUGCCUACGGGCCAAAGAGGGGGACCUUCGGGCCUCUCGCGUCAGGAUAUGCCUAGGUGGGAUUAGCUAGUUGGUGAGGUAAUGGCUCACCAAGGCGACGAUCCCUAGCUGGUCUGAGAGGAUGAUCAGCACACUGGAACUGAGACACGGU
rnacentral:rRNA from 1 species